rnacentral:rRNA from 1 species
CACGUAGGGCGCAAGCGUUGUCCGGAAUUAUUGGGCGUAAAGAGCUCGUAGGUGGUUUGUUACGUCCGCUGUGAAAUCCUAGGGCUUAACCCUGGGCUUGCAGUGGAUACGGGCAGACUAGAGGUAGGUAGGGGAGAAUGGAAUUCCCGGUGUAGCGGUGAAAUGCGCAGAUAUCGGGAGGAACACCAGUAGCGAAGGCGGCUCGCUGGGCCAUUCCUGACGCUGAGACGCGAAAGCUAGGGGAGCGAACAGG